GUACACUCCUGCGGGAGGCAGCAGUGGGGAAUAUUGGACAAUGGGCGCAAGCCUGAUCCAGCCAUGCCGCGUGAGUGAUGAAGGCCCUAGGGUUGUAAAGCUCUUUCACCGGUGAAGAUAAUGACGGUAACCGGAGAAGAAGCCCCGGCUAACUUCGUGCCAGCAGCCGCGGUAAUACGAAGGGGGCUAGCGUUGUUCGGAUUUACUGGGCGUAAAGCGCACGUAGGCGGACUAUUAAGUCAGGGGUGAAAUCCCGGGGCUCAACCCCGGAACUGCCUUUGAUACUGGUAGUCUUGAGUUCGAGAGAGGUGAGUGGAAUUCCGAGUGUAGAGGUGAAAUUCGUAGAUAUUCGGAGGAACACCAGUGGCGAAGGCGGCUCACUGGCUCGAUACUGACGCUGAGGUGCGAAAGCGUGGGGAGCAAACAGGAUUAGAUACCCCUGUAGUCCC
rnacentral:rRNA from 1 species